ACUCCUACGGGAGGCAGCAGUGGGGAAUUUUGGACAAUGGGCGAAAGCCUGAUCCAGCAAUGCCGCGUGCAGGAUGAAGGCCUUCGGGUUGUAAACUGCUUUUGUACGGAACGAAAAAGCUCCUUCUAAUACAGGGGGCCCAUGACGGUACCGUAAGAAUAAGCACCGGCUAACUACGUGCCAGCAGCCGCGGUAAUACGUAGGGUGCGAGCGUUAAUCGGAAUUACUGGGCGUAAAGCGUGCGCAGGCGGUUAUGUAAGACAGAUGUGAAAUCCCCGGGCUCAACCUGGGAACUGCAUUUGUGACUGCAUGGCUAGAGUACGGUAGAGGGGGAUGGAAUUCCGCGUGUAGUAGUGAAAUGCGUAGAUAUGCGGAGGAACACCGAUGGCGAAGGCAAUCCCCUGGACCUGUACUGACGCUCAUGCACGAAAGCGUGGGGAGCAAACAGGAUUAGAAACCCCUGUAGUCCCAUG
rnacentral:rRNA from 1 species